rnacentral:rRNA from 1 species
UACGUAGGGCGCAAGCGUUAUCCGGAAUUAUUGGGCGUAAAGAGCUCGUAGGCGGUUUGUCGCGUCUGCCGUGAAAGUCCGGGGGCUCAACUCCGGAUCUGCGGUGGGUACGGGCAGACUAGAGUGAUGUAGGGGAGACUGGAAUUCCUGGUGUAGCGGUGAAAUGCGCAGAUAUCAGGAGGAACACCGAUGGCGAAGGCAGGUCUCUGGGCAUUAACUGACGCUGAGGCACGAAAGCGUGGGGAGCAAACAGG